CGCUGUCGAGCUGUGGACGAUUAAACAGAGCACAAUCAAGCGGAAACUGUAAACCGCAUGUACAAAUAACAGAUAUAAAUGAUUGUCAGAAGGAGAACAAAG
rnacentral:ncRNA from 1 species